rnacentral:rRNA from 1 species
CAGUAACGGCGAGUGAAGCGGCAACAGCUCAAAUUUGAAAUCUGGCUCCUUCGGGGUCCGAAUUGUAAUUUGUAGAGAGUGCUUCGGGCGAGACCUCGGUCUAAGUCCAUUGGAACAUGGUGUCAUAGAGGGUGAGAAUCCCGUAUGCGACCGUGGCUCGAGCCCAUGUGAAGCCUCUUCGACGAGUCGAGUUGUUUGGGAAUGCAGCUCAAAAUGGGUGGUAAAUUUCAUCUAAAGCUAAAUACUGGCUGGAGACCGAUAGCGCACAAGUAGAGUGAUCGAAAGAUGAAAAGCACUUUGGAAAGAGAGUCAAACAGUACGUGAAAUUGUUGAAAGGGAAGCGCUUGCAACCAGACCUGCCCGUAGGCGAUCAGCCGCUGUUCUCAGCGGUGUACUCGCUCUGCGAUCAGGCCAGCAUCGGUUUCGGCGGUCGGAUAAAGACCUUGGGAAUGUAGCUUCCCUUCGGGGAAGUCUUAUAGCCCUCGGUGUAAUGCGGCCAGCCGGGACCGAGGACCGCGCUUCGGCUAGGAUGCUGGCGUAAUGGUUGUAAGCGACCCGUCUUGAAACACGGACCAAGGAGUCUAACAUCUAUGCGAGUGUUUGGGUGUCAAACCCAUACGCGGAAUGAAAGUGAACGGAGGUGAGAACCCUUAAGGGCGCAUCAUCGACCGAUCCAGAAGUCUUCGGAUGGAUUUGAGUAUGAGCAUAGCUGUUGGGACCCGAAAGAUGGUGAACUAUGCCUGAAUAGGGUGAAGCCAGAGGAAACUCUGGUGGAGGCUCGCAGCGGUUCUGACGUGCAAAUCGAUCGUCAAAUUUGGGUAUAGGGGCGAAAGACUAAUC